GACGAACGCUGGCGGCGUGCUUAACACAUGCAAGUCGAACGGUAAGGCACUUUCGGGGGUACACGAGUGGCGAACGGGUGAGUAACACGUGGGUGAUCUGCCCUGCACUUUGGGAUAAGCCUGGGAAACUGGGUCUAAUACCGGAUAGGACUACGCGAUGCAUGUCGUGUGGUGGAAAGCUUUCGCGGUGUGGGAUGGGCCCGCGGCCUAUCAGCUUGUUGGUGGGGUGAUGGCCUACCAAGGCGACGACGGGUAGCCGGCCUGAGAGGGUGUCCGGCCACACUGGGACUGAGAUACGGCCCAGACUCCUACGGGAGGCAGCAGUGGGGAAUAUUGCACAAUGGGCGCAAGCCUGAUGCAGCGACGCCGCGUGAGGGAUGACGGCCUUCGGGUUGUAAACCUCUUUCAAUAGGGACAAAGCGCAAGUGACGGUACCUAUAGAAGAAGCACCGGCCAACUACGUGCCAGCCGCCGCGGUAAAAC
rnacentral:rRNA from 1 species